GCAGGUGCCUGGAAGUGCAACCGUCUGGGCUGCAACGGAAGGACCUGAGACAAGCUCAGACGCACGGAGCCGGGGUGGCGGCUCUGAGGCUCCGGGAGGCAAACCAGGGCCACCGGGUAAGGCGAGGGUGCUCUGGCUGGACAGGAGCCAGGCCGGCCCGCCCCCCGCAGGGGCCGCCGCCCGAGAGCCCGGAGCCCCCCCACGCAGACGUCCGGCCUUCUGCAGAACCGGACCGGCUGGCGGAGGCCUGCCCGGGCCCCUGCACGGCCCAGACCCCCCGGUCUGUGGCUUAACGGCUGCCAGGGGCAGAGAGCAGUGACUGUGUGGAGCCUCGGGAGAGACGGCCGUCCUGCCCGGCUCGCUCACCGGGCAGGGGCUGCAGCGCGCCGCGUCCAGCGCCACCGCUUUGAUGGCCCCGGUCUGGAGAGUUCCACCAGCGCAUCCUGAUGCACCGACAGACCUGAGUUAACGGGACGAGGCCUCUGCAUCACUACGGUCGGGCAGGACCCGGGAGGGACGCUGUGGUCACCGUCACUGCUACUGCAGGCCCGUCUCGAUCAUGCCAGCGGCUGACCAGGAGCUUCAUUCUGCUGGUUCCUCACCAGACGUGCGGAGCCGGCCCGGGGCCAGGCGGAGCACUGAGCCCCGCGCACAGCUCGCCCCGCGCACAGCUCGCCCGCUGAACCCUCCAAGAAGCUGGCAAAGCCUGUGCGUCUCACACGGGAGGAACUGAGGCCUGACGCCAGGCCACACAGCUCCUAACCGAUCAACCCAGGUUCGUCUGUCCUCAGGCCCGGGCCGGUCUCACACUACACAGCGCCUCCCCAGGUCAGGGACCCAGCCCCAGGCUGCUGCAAACACACUUUAAAAACGAAGCCACCACAAUCCACAACUGUCAUUUCAAAUUCAGAAGGGCAGAAGCUGAGAAGAAAACCUUUCCUAGAGGCAGAGACCAGCAAGGAGCCUGAUGAGUGGCCUCCUGAUGGCUGACCGUCGGGGCAGGCCCGAGGGUCAGGACACAGAGCGUCCCUGGUGUGCAGGGGCUGCGGCUGGAGAAGCCGCGUCCCACACCCUUUUCUGGGCUGUUUUCCCAGCAUCUUGAGCACACUCACCAGC